GGGGAAUAUUGGACAAUGGGCGCAAGCCUGAUCCAGCCAUGCCGCGUGGGUGAUGAAGGCCCUAGGGUUGUAAAGCUCUUUUGUGCGGGAAGAUAAUGACGGUACCGCAAGAAUAAGCCCCGGCUAACUUCGUGCCAGCAGCCGCGGUAAUACGAAGGGGGCUAGCGUUGCUCGGAAUUACUGGGCGUAAAGGGUGCGUAGGCGGGUCUUUAAGUCAGGGGUGAAAUCCUGGAGCUCAACUCCAGAACUGCCUUUGAUACUGAGGAUCUUGAGUUCGGGAGAGGUGAGUGGAACUGCGAGUGUAGAGGUGAAAUUCGUAGAUAUUCGCAAGAACACCAGUGGCGAAGGCGGCUCACUGGCCCGAGACUGACGCUGAGGCACGAAAGCGUGGGGAGCAAAC
rnacentral:rRNA from 1 species